GAGGAGCGGAAGGAUCGUGGGCUGUGUCCCUUGGCGCCCUGGGAUCCGGGGCCUGCGCUGCUGGAAUCACGUUCCCGUGGCUGCAGCUCCUG
rnacentral:pre_miRNA from 1 species